rnacentral:rRNA from 1 species
UUGUACCUACGGGAGGCAGCAGUGGGGAAUAUUGCACAAUGGGGGAAACCCUGAUGCAGCGACGCCGCGUGAGUGAAGAAGUAUCUCGGUAUGUAAAGCUCUAUCAGCAGGGAAGAAAAAAGACAGUACCUGUAGAAUAAGCUCCGGCUAACUACGUGCCAGCAGCCGCGGUAAUACGUAGGGAGCAAGCGUUAUCCGGAAUUAUUGGGUGUAAAGGGUGCGUAGACGGGACAGCAAGUUAGUUGUGAAAGCCCUCGGCUUAACUGAGGAACUGCAACUAAAACUAUUGUUCUUGAGUGCAGGAG